AACUGAUACUACCUGCGGGAACCUGCGGAAGGAUCAUUACCGAGUUUACAACUCCCAAACCCAUGUGAACAUACCUAUCGUUGCUUCGGCGGGAUCGCCCCGGGCGCCUUGCGUGCCCCGGAUCCAGGCACCCGCCGGGGGACCUUAACUCUUGUUUUAUUUAGAAUCUUCUGAGUAGUUUUUACAAAUAAAUAAAAACUUUCAGCAACGGAUCUCU
rnacentral:misc_RNA from 1 species